CUUGGUCCCGUAACGAUCACCAAAGUUAAGCAACGUUGAGACUGGUCAGUACCUAGAAGAGUGACCGCUUGGGAAUACCAGGUGCUGUAAG